rnacentral:lncRNA from 1 species
ACAAGUUAAAGGGACCCAUUUGCAGCCCGAUCGAGUUUUGUGCAGAAAUAACAAGUCAAAUUCUAAGUUCAGAGCAGCUCAUCCGCCUAAUGCUAUCUUAUGAACGGAAGUGAUGAUUGGAGGAAAGAAUGGCAAGGUGGAUUGUAUCCAUCCACUUGUACCCUACCAUUAACGUAUAAUUAAAAUUCAAAUAUCAGCUUUUGUGUUAUCCUUUGCAUAAUGCUGCAACCUGAUUGCACUUAUUGCCACAAAACUCUGGGUCAAGGAGGAAUAGCUAGGUUGGCGG